rnacentral:rRNA from 1 species
CAGCCGCGCGGUAAUACGAAGGGUGCAAGCGUUAAUCGGAAUUACUGGGCGUAAAGCGUGCGUAGGCGGUGAGUUAAGUCUGCUGUGAAAUCCCCGGGCUCAACCUGGGAAUGGCAGUGGAUACUGGCUCGCUAGAGUGUGUCAGAGGAUGGUGGAAUUCCCGGUGUAGCGGUGAAAUGCGUAGAGAUCGGGAGGAACAUCAGUGGCGAAGGCGGCCAUCUGGGACAACACUGACGCUGAGGCACGAAAGCGUGGGGAGCAAACAGGAUUAGAUACCCCAGUAGUCCCUGUCUCUUAUACA